rnacentral:rRNA from 1 species
GUAGGUGGCAAGCGUUGUCCGGAAUUACUGGGUGUAAAGGGAGCGUAGGCGGGGAGGCAAGUUGAAUGUCUAAACUAUCGGCUCAACUGAUAGUCGCGUUCAAAACUGCCACUCUUGAGUGCAGUAGAGGUAGGCGGAAUUCCUAGUGUAGCGGUGAAAUGCGUAGAUAUCACGAAGAACUCCGAUUGCGAAGGCAGCUCACUGGACUGCAACUGACACUGAUGCUCGAAAGUGUGGGUAUCAAACAGGAUUAGAUACCCUGGUAGUCCACACAGUAAACGAUGAAUACUCGCUGUUUGCGAUAUACAGUAAGCGGCCAAGCGAAAGCAUUAAGUAUUCCACCUGGGGAGUACGCCGGCAACGGUGAAACUCAAAGGAAUUGACG